rnacentral:rRNA from 1 species
CGAAGGAUCCAAGCGUUGUCCGGAUUUACUGGGUUUAAAGGGUGCGUAGGCGGACUUUUAAGUCAGUGGUGAAAGCCUGUAGCUUAACUAUAGAAUUGCCAUUGAAACUGAAAGUCUCGAGUGUGGUUGAGGUAACUGGAAUAUAUCAUGUAGCGGUGAAAUGCUUAGAUAUGAUAUAGAACACCAAUUGCGAAGGCAGGUUACUGAGCCACAACUGACGCUGAGGCACGAAAGCGUGGGGAUCAAACAGGAUUAGAUACCCUGGUAGUCCACGCCGUAAACGUUGAAUACUCGAUCUUAGCGAUACACAGUUAGGAUCCAAGCGAAAGCGUUAAGUAUUCCACCUGGGAAGUACGUUCGCAAGAAUG